rnacentral:rRNA from 4 species
AGAGUUUGAUCAUGGCUCAGAUUGAACGCUGGCGGCAGGCCUAACACAUGCAAGUCGAACGGUAACAGGAAGCAGCUUGCUGCUUCGCUGACGAGUGGCGGACGGGUGAGUAAUGUCUGGGAAACUGCCUGAUGGAGGGGGAUAACUACUGGAAACGGUGGCUAAUACCGCAUAACGUCGCAAGACCAAAGAGGGGGACCUUCGGGCCUCUUGCCAUCAGAUGUGCCCAGAUGGGAUUAGCUUGUUGGUGAGGUAACGGCUCACCAAGGCGACGAUCCCUAGCUGGUCUGAGAGGAUGACCAGCCACACUGGAACUGAGACACGGUCCAGACUCCUACGGGAGGCAGCAGUGGGGAAUAUUGCACAAUGGGCGCAAGCCUGAUGCAGCCAUGCCGCGUGUAUGAAGAAGGCCUUCGGGUUGUAAAGUACUUUCAGCGGGGAGGAAGGUGUUGUGGUUAAUAACCGCAGCAAUUGACGUUACCCGCAGAAGAAGCACCGGCUAACUCCGUGCCAGCAGCCGCGGUAAUACGGAGGGUGCAAGCGUUAAUCGGAAUUACUGGGCGUAAAGCGCACGCAGGCGGUCUGUCAAGUCGGAUGUGAAAUCCCCGGGCUCAACCUGGGAACUGCAUUCGAAACUGGCAGGCUUGAGUCUUGUAGAGGGGGGUAGAAUUCCAGGUGUAGCGGUGAAAUGCGUAGAGAUCUGGAGGAAUACCGGUGGCGAAGGCGGCCCCCUGGACAAAGACUGACGCUCAGGUGCGAAAGCGUGGGGAGCAAACAGGAUUAGAUACCCUGGUAGUCCACGCCGUAAACGAUGUCUACUUGGAGGUUGUGCCCUUGAGGCGUGGCUUCCGGAGCUAACGCGUUAAGUAGACCGCCUGGGGAGUACGGCCGCAAGGUUAAAACUCAAAUGAAUUGACGGGGGCCCGCACAAGCGGUGGAGCAUGUGGUUUAAUUCGAUGCAACGCGAAGAACCUUACCUGGUCUUGACAUCCACAGAACUUUCCAGAGAUGGACUGGUGCCUUCGGGAACUGUGAGACAGGUGCUGCAUGGCUGUCGUCAGCUCGUGUUGUGAAAUGUUGGGUUAAGUCCCGCAACGAGCGCAACCCUUAUCCUUUGUUGCCAGCGGUCCGGCCGGGAACUCAAAGGAGACUGCCAGUGAUAAACUGGAGGAAGGUGGGGAUGACGUCAAGUCAUCAUGGCCCUUACGACCAGGGCUACACACGUGCUACAAUGGCGCAUACAAAGAGAAGCGACCUCGCGAGAGCAAGCGGACCUCAUAAAGUGCGUCGUAGUCCGGAUUGGAGUCUGCAACUCGACUCCAUGAAGUCGGAAUCGCUAGUAAUCGUGGAUCAGAAUGCCACGGUGAAUACGUUCCCGGGCCUUGUACACACCGCCCGUCACACCAUGGGAGUGGGUUGCAAAAGAAGUAGGUAGCUUAACCUUCGGGAGGGCGCUUACCACUUUGUGAUUCAUGACUGGGGUGAAGUCGUAACAAGGUAACCGUAGGGGAACCUGCGGUUG